rnacentral:rRNA from 1 species
UACGAAGGGGGCUAGCGUUGCUCGGAAUCACUGGGCGUAAAGCGCACGUAGGCGGACCAUUAAGUCAGGGGUGAAAGCCUGGAGCUCAACUCCAGAACUGCCUUUGAUACUGAUGGUCUCGAGUUCGGAAGAGGUUGGUGGAACUGCGAGUGUAGAGGUGAAAUUCGUAGAUAUUCGCAAGAACACCAGUGGCGAAGGCGGCCAACUGGUCCGAUACUGACGCUGUGGUGCGAAAGCGUGGGGAGCAAACAGG